AUGAACGCUAGCUACAGGCUUAACACAUGCAAGUCGAGGGGCAGCAUGGUCUUAGCUUGCUAAGGCCGAUGGCGACCGGCGCACGGGUGAGUAACACGUAUCCAACCUGCCGUCUACUCUUGGACAGCCUUCUGAAAGGAAGAUUAAUACAAGAUGGCAUCAUGAGUUCACAUGUUCACAUGAUUAAAGGUAUUCCGGUAGACGAUGGGGAUGCGUUCCAUUAGAUAGUAGGCGGGGUAACGGCCCACCUAGUCUUCGAUGGAUAGGGGUUCUGAGAGGAAGGUCCCCCACAUUGGAACUGAGACACGGUCCAAACUCCUACGGGAGGCAGCAGUGAGGAAUAUUGGUCAAUGGGCGAGAGCCUGAACCAGCCAAGUAGCGUGAAGGAUGACUGCCCUAUGGGUUGUAAACUUCUUUUAUAAAGGAAUAAAGUCGGGUAUGGAUACCCGUUUGCAUGUACUUUAUGAAUAAGGAUCGGCUAACUCCGUGCCAGCAGCCGCGGUAAUACGGAGGAUCCGAGCGUUAUCCGGAUUUAUUGGGUUUAAAGGGAGCGUAGAUGGAUGUUUAAGUCAGUUGUGAAAGUUUGCGGCUCAACCGUAAAAUUGCAGUUGAUACUGGAUAUCUUGAGUGCAGUUGAGGCAGGCGGAAUUCGUGGUGUAGCGGUGAAAUGCUUAGAUAUCACGAAGAACUCCGAUUGCGAAGGCAGCCUGCUAAGCUGCAACUGACAUUGAGGCUCGAAAGUGUGGGUAUCAAACAGGAUUAGAUACCCUGGUAGUCCAUGCCGUAAACGAUGAGUGCUAGGUGUUGGAGGGUUUCCGCCCUUCAGUGCCGGAGCUAACGCAUUAAGCACUCCGCCUGGGGAGUACGACCGCAAGGUUGAAACUCAAAGGAAUUGACGGGGGCCCGCACAAGCGGUGGAGCAUGUGGUUUAAUUCGAAGCAACGCGAAGAACCUUACCAAGUCUUGACAUCCCGAUGACAAGCUAUGUAAUGUAGCCUCUCUUCGGAGCAUCGGUGACAGGUGGUGCAUGGUUGUCGUCAGCUCGUGUCGUGAGAUGUUGGGUUAAGUCCCGCAACGAGCGCAACCCUUGUUGUCAGUUACUAACAGGUUCCGCUGAGGACUCUGACAAGACUGCCAUCGUAAGAUGUGAGGAAGGUGGGGAUGACGUCAAAUCAGCACGGCCCUUACGUCCGGGGCUACACACGUGUUACAAUGGGGGGUACAGAGGGCCGCUACCACGCGAGUGGAUGCCAAUCCCCAAAACCUCUCUCAGUUCGGACUGGAGUCUGCAACCCGACUCCACGAAGCUGGAUUCGCUAGUAAUCGCGCAUCAGCCACGGCGCGGUGAAUACGUUCCCGGGCCUUGUACACACCGCCCGUCAAGCCAUGGGAGCCGGGGGUACCUGAAGUGCGUAACCGCGAGGAGCGCCCUAGGGUAAAACUGGUGACUGGGGCU
rnacentral:rRNA from 1 species